rnacentral:lncRNA from 1 species
ACCUUCCUUGGCAACCGGCCUUGGCAACCGGCCUUGGCAACCGGCCUUGGAAACCGACCUUGGCAACCGGCCUUAGCAACCGGCCCAGAAACCACCCCUGGAAACUGUCCAUAGCAACUGCCCCGGCAACUAUCCCAGCAACUGUCCCUAGCAACCACCCUGGCAACCAUCCCAGCAACUGUCCCUAGCAACCACCCUGGCAACCAUCCCAGCAACCAUCCCAGCAACUGUCCCUAGCAACCACCCCAGCAACCAUCCCAGCAACCAUCCCUGGAAACCAUCUCUAGCAACUGCCCCUGGCAACCACCCCUGGCAACCACCCCUGUGGGUGCCAACCCCCUGUGCAGAAGAUAUUACAGACAACUGGAGAACACUGCUGGAUGAGUGGCAGAAGCCAGAGACACUUAUACACAGAAAUUCUUCUGGCAUUAUAAUCCUAAGAGAAAAUUACUCUUAAAUGGAGCUUCCCCUGCCCCUGGUUCAACCCCACGAGGCUGAGCCCCAUUUCACACGCUGCUCAGCUCAUCUGAAGCUGUUAUGUCGUGCACCUGGAACAGUCUGGGGUGAUUUUUUAAAGCCUGGCACGGAGACCAAGGGAGUUGGCAGGGACCACGUGCAGCUGUGCACACCAGGACAAGGAUUUUGGAAAACCUGCUCUGUGCCACCCAGAGAUCCCCAUCUGCAGUGUCUCCAGUGGAUAACACAGAUGAUAUACCUGCCUGAUUUGCAAGAAGCAAUGAGAGGCAAUAACAGACCAUCACUGGGAUGCUUCUGACCCCUUGCACACACAGGCACCCCCAUGUCCUCCAGCUGCACCAUCCUCCCUACAAUCCCUCUCUGCCAGCAAUAGCUGUGAUGCCACUGUGGUGCCAGGUGAAGGUAUUUGGCAGCAGACAGACAUGAGUCAUCUCACCUACUGAAACCUUCCCAUCAUCGAGUCAUGCAAGCCCUCAGACAGAACGGGCAGCAUCCCAUCAAUUCUGGACAUGGUAAAGUCAAUAUGAGAAAUCUGGCAGGUGGAGCUCAUGCUGACACCUCAUUUUGAACUCCUCUGAACUGUCCUGGUCUUCUUGGCAUGAAGGUUCUGUGUUUGUUUUAAUGGGGC